AACGAACGCUGGCGGCAGGCCUAACACAUGCAAGUCGAGCGCUACCUUCGGGUGGAGCGGCGGACGGGUUAGUAACGCGUGGGAAUAUGCCCUUCUCUAUGGAAUAGCCAUUGGAAACGAUGAGUAAUACCAUAUACGCCCUUUCGAGGGGAAAGAUUUAUCGGAGAAGGAUUAGCCCGCGUUAGAUUAGAUAGUUGGUGGGGUAAUGGCCUACCAAGUCUACGAUCUAUAGCUGGUUUUAGAGGAUGAUCAGCAACACUGGGACUGAGACACGGCCCAGACUCCUACGGGAGGCAGCAGUGGGGAAUCUUAGACAAUGGGCGCAAGCCUGAUCUAGCCAUGCCGCGUGUGUGAUGAAGGCCUUAGGGUCGUAAAGCACUUUCGCCAGAGAUGAUAAUGACAGUAUCUGGUAAAGAAACCCCGGCUAACUCCG
rnacentral:rRNA from 1 species